rnacentral:lncRNA from 1 species
CAUGUAAGAUAUGACUGUGCUCCUCCUUCACCUUCUGCCAUGAUUGUGAGGCCUCCACAGCCAUGUGGAACUCCAUGAGUAUGACUAUGUGCUGAGUCCUGUGAGUCCUCCUACUGAAUCAUCAAAGCCAGGGGGGAAGCUGUUUUUCCCUCUUUGGGGUCUCAGAGAGAUUGGUGGCAAGGACUCCUGGGAAGAGAAAAGCUGAAGGACACUCUGGCAAGAGGUACCACCUCUCACUGGCUGCCCAAGCAAGAUUCUAUGGCUUGGAAUAAUUCUCAGCGACUCACUCAUCAAAGGGCAUCUAUCUAGAAGCCCUGCUCCUUCAGGGACAUCUGAGGUUGAUGAGCUGAUCCAAUAAGCCAUCAGAGCUGGAAUAGUAGUAGUUAACAAUGGCUCUCUGCACUCUUUUUAAAUAACUUUGCUUUUCAGGCCAAGGUGAGAGCCUCGUGGGAAUUUCACAAAUUUUAUAGAAGCAGAGGAGUGCUAUUUGAGCAAGGGGCGGAUAACACCUACAAUCCACUCAGGAUUUCCAAGCAUAGCCGGAUGCAGAAGUACUCAUACUUCACUACAGAAUCACCUGGGGAGCUUUUAACCUUCUGAUUCUAGUGUUUCCCUCUGGCAGAUGGAGACAGAAACUUGACUGGGCUCAGGAAUAUGUGUUUUUAAAAUUCUCCAGAAGAUUUUAAUGCAGUACAAGUAAGAAGACAGGACUGCAAUUCACAAGAACAGUAUAUCCUGGUGAUUCCUCAGAACAGAACAGACUCAAAAAAAAAAAAAAAAGAAGAAGACAAAAACAAAGAUAACAUGAAACCAGAUUCCACAACCAUGUUUCAAGUGACCUAUGUGAGUCAGGCCCAUGAGACACAUACUACACCAGUUUCAGUGAAGCCUCACAAAAUUUAGGGGGGUAGAGGAAAGGGUCCUAUGCCCAUUUCAUAGAUGAACAAACUAAGGACUUAAUAGAUUUCAACAAUUUGUUCAAAGUCUCUACCUUAAAGGAUUUUGGGGUUCUGGUUUUUGUUUUUACCUGCCCUGGUAACUCUUCUAAGAAUGAGCCAAGAAGAAGACAACCUUCUAAGAUACUUUUCCUGCCCUCCAAGGGCUGUGGAGAAUCUGAUAGGGUUGGAGCUGCCCUCUCCUCUUCCCAGAGACACUGCCCCACAAUCCCAUCAAGUCUGACUGGUACCAACGACUCCAGGGGGCCUCUGCCUUCAGAACUGUAUAGGCCUGUGUGGGCACCAGUCUUUACAUCCAUGUUCCCUCUCCCUCGAGGACCCAGGUUGACCUGUCCAAGAGCUCUCUCAUCAUGCUGAAUUUUGGUGACAGCAUAGGGUGAGCCUGUGGAUUCUACAGCUCAGCAAACCUCCAGCCAAGUAGUUUCCCUUCAUAUGGUUCCCCAGUCUUUACAUGUGGCAUCCAAGAAGGGAAAGUAUCCCCUCUCCCUUGAUGAGAUGUCAGCCCCUCACCACACAUGGCCUGGGUGCUAGGAGGACCCAUACGGGCUAGGGAGGGGCCACUGGGAGGGGAAUGUGUAGGGGGCAGACCCCAUCUAGCUGCUUCUUGAUGAGCCUGGCAUGGAGUGUUUGAUCCAAAUCUUGACAGCACAUUGGUGGCUGUUGUCACUGUGUGGCAGGACUUGCAGUUGAGCUUCUUGUGCCUUGGACUUCUUGUGACUUGGACCUCAGCCUCCAUUGAAGACCGUAACACAAGUCCCAACUUACAAACAAAUGAGGGAAUGAAUGAGCUUUGGCAUUGGAAAAACCUGGGUUCAAAUCCUGGCUACUCUACUUCCUGUGUCAGUUGCUUCACUUUUCUAAAUAUAAAUUGUGUUCCUUCUGUUUUGGCUUCUAGGAAACCCCGAGCCAAACGUAUGGCCACCUCUGACCACUCGACCAGCCCAGCAUGGUGUACAUUUCUGGGUAGCUUAUCACGCCUUCCAAGCAUUGCCUUUAUCUUCCUUCUCCCCAUCAAGCCUGUAUUGUUUUCCUUUUGAAUCAUAAGCACUUUUGUUAAAUACCUCAAAUCUUUCGAGAACAGCAAGGAGCAAAAUAAACUUAACUUCUCUGAGAAAAAAAAAAAAAAAAAAAAAAAA